UAUUAAUAUUUUGGUAGCAAGUUCCUACUAAAUUAAUAUUUAGCUUAAUAGUUUACGUUCAAUAUUGCAUAUUUUUUCGAACUCUAUAUUAACAGUAGCUGUACUUUGGAGAAAGUUGACCGAGAAAUCUUUUUAAAGUUGUCCAAUUGAAUUUUCAAUUAUCAAGUAUCUUCAGUUUACUUAUAUGAAAUGUAUUUUCUGCUCUACUCUUAUAAGUCAGUAUUGAGCCACAUAGACGGACCACUUUGAGUUAGUCUCGGAAAAGCAAAUCGACAGAAUAGGUUUUCACUCAGCCACAGG